GAUGAACGCUGGCGGCGUGCCUAAUACAUGCAAGUCGAGCGAACAGACGAGGAGCUUGCUCCUCUGACGUUAGCGGCGGACGGGUGAGUCACACGUAGAUAACCUACCUAUAAGACUGGGAUAACUUCGGGAAACCGGAGCUACUACCGGAUAAUAUAUUGAACCGCAUGGUUCAAUAGUGAAAGACGGUUUUGCUUUCACUUAUCGAUGGAUCCGCGCCGCAUUAGCUAGUUGGUAAGGUAACGGCUUACCCAGGCAACGAUGCGUAGCCGACCUGAGAGGGUGAUCGGCCACACUGGAACUGAGACACGGUCCAGACUCCUACGGGAGGCAGCAGUAGGGAAUCUUCCGCAAUGGUCGGAAGCCUGACGGAGCAACGCCGCGUGUGUGAUGAAGGUCUUCGGAUCGUAAAACUCUGUUAUUAGGUAAGAACAAAUUUGUAAGUAACUAUGCACGUCUUGACGGUACCUAAUCAGAAAGCCACGGCUAACUACGUG
rnacentral:rRNA from 1 species